rnacentral:lncRNA from 1 species
UGAAUGCAUAACUAAAUCAAUAAUGUGCUUCUUUAUCAGGCUUCUGACUUUACCAAAGAAUUGAAACGAUACAUACAAUAUAGUGCUGGCACAAGUUCUGGUGGCUGGUUCUGGCCACUUGUGAAGAGUGUGAAAAUCAAGAUACCAAACUGUUGUGAACUCCUGGAACACAUUGUGCUUCUUGAUCUUCCUGGGACUGGAGACUGCAACAAUAUUAGAGAUGACUUGUGGAAAUCUAAACUAAGAGACUGCUCUUCAGUAUGGAUUUUAAGUGAUAUCAAUCGUGCUGUCAACAACAAAAAUACCUGGGAGAUAUUAAAGUACUGCUCUAAAGACAUGACACAUGCAGGGGAAUGCAGAGAUAUUCACUUUAUCUGCACCAAGAGUGACAAUAUUGAGCCAGAAGAAUAUAAUAGUACUCUGGAAGUCAAAAUACCAGAAGACGAGGAUCUGACAACAAAUUGCAUACUUCACAGAAACAAACAGGCUAAGAAGACUGUGUUAAAAACCUUUGAAAAUUCAGAUAUCAAGAAAGAGAUGGAUCUACAGGUUUUUACUGUAAGCUCCAAGGCAUUUUUUGAACAUAGGUUAGGCCUGAAACAGGAUGAAACAGAAAUUCCAAAGCUGCAAGAUGUUCUGAAGAAAAUGAAUGAGAGAAUUAACCAGG